CUGAUGCAGCGACGCCGCGUGAGGGAUGACGGCCUUCGGGUUGUAAACCUCUUUCAGCAGGGACGAAGCGCAAGUGACGGUACCUGCAGAAGAAGCACCGGCUAACUACGUGCCAGCAGCCGCGGUAAUACGUAGGGUGCAAGCGUUGUCCGGAAUUACUGGGCGUAAAGAGUUCGUAGGCGGUUUGUCGCGUCGUUUGUGAAAACCAGCAGCUCAACUGCUGGCUUGCAGGCGAUACGGGCAGACUUGAGUACUGCAGGGGAGACUGGAAUUCCUGGUGUAGCGGUGAAAUGCGCAGAUAUCAGGAGGAACACCGGUGGCGAAGGCGGGUCUCUGGGCAGUAACUGACGCUGAGGAACGAAAGCGUGGGUAGCGAACAGGAUUAGAUACCCUGGUAGUCCACGCCGUAAACGGUGGGCGCUAGGUGUGGGUUCCUUCCACGGAAUCCGUGCCGUAGCUAACGCAUUAAGCGCCCCGCCUGGGGAGUACGGCCGCAAGGCUAAAACUCAAAGGAAUUGACGGGGGCCCGCACAAGCGGCGGAGCAUGUGGAUUAAUUCGAUGCAACGCGAAGAACCUUACCUGGGUUUGACAUAUACCGGAAAGCUGCAGAGAUGUGGCCCCCCUUGUGGUCGG
rnacentral:rRNA from 1 species